UCUCGCGGAGGGGGUGAGGGAGGGAGGCUGUGUGUGUGUGUGUGUGUGUGUGUGUGUGUGUGUGCAGAUGCAGCAGCAGCAGCAGCAAGCGGCGUCUUCCAUCUCGUCCUCACCUGCUGAAGCCUCCCUGCACUUGCCUCGCGCUGCUGCUGCCCGCCUCCACCUGCGCUCCGUACCGCUCGCAAACAAGUUCAGAUUUGUUUUGGUCUUCAUUCUGGCAGUCGACGGUUCAAUCCCUGGGUCCUCCAGUCCGCAUGCCAACGGGUCCUGUGGCAAGACAUUCAAACCCUACAUUGAGCCUUAAAAGACGGAUCCACGGCGUCGGUCUCGGCUGGAGUUGGGAAGCAGUUUAAGAUUCCUGUUAUCUUCUUACUGUAUCUUUCCCCGAUGGGACUAUGAAGAGAAGAGGGGAAAAGGUAGUUGCUUUUUUUCUUCUGUUUGCUUUACCGUUCUCUGUUGUGUUUGUGCAUCUGUCCAUCGAUUCCCUGGUGCAUUAAUGUCUGAAGACAUUGACAGAGGUGAUCUUUCUCCUCUGAUGUUCACCCACUGUACAAACCUUGUGGAAAAAUUAAAUAAGGGGGAAAAAAAAAAGAAUAAAAAGAAUCUGUUGACUGUGCAACAAGGGGAAAUUGCGACUGGUGUCACUUCAGUUCUGUUCAGUUCAUUUGGAAGAUUUUUAGUCAUGGACUGUGUGACUUUGUCAUCUUUUCGAGACGAAUGAUUGUAUCGCCGUGACAUUAAA